GACGAACGCUGGCGGCGUGCUUAACACAUGCAAGUCGAACGAAGUGGCGAACGGGUGAGUAACGCGUAAUCAACCUGCCCUUCAGAGGGGGACAACAGUUGGAAACGACUGCUAAUACCGCAUACUGAAGGCGGGGAUUGCGUCUGAUUAGCUAGUUGGAGGGGUAACGGCCCACCAAGGCGAUGAUCAGGAGCCGGUCCUAAAGGAUGAACGGCCAAAUUUGGAAUUAGAACCGGCCCAGACCACCACGGGAGGCAGCAGUGGGGAAUCUUCCGAAAUGGAAGAAAGUCUGACGGAGCAACGCCGCGGGGGUGAUGACGGCCUUCGGGUUGGAAAGCUCUGUUAAUCGGGACGCGGUACCGGAAUAGAAAGCCACGGCUAACUACGUGCCAGCAGCCGCGGUAAUAC
rnacentral:rRNA from 1 species